rnacentral:rRNA from 1 species
GAGUGAACGCUGGCGGUAGGCCUACCACAUGCAAGUCGAACGGCAGCACAGUAAGAGCUUGCUCUUACGGGUGGCGAGUGGCGGACGGGUGAGGAAUACAUCGGAAUCUACUUUUUCGUGGGGGAUAACGUAGGGAAACUUACGCUAAUACCGCAUACGACCUACGGGUGAAAGCAGGGGAUCUUCGGACCUUGCGCGAUUGAAUGAGCCGAUGUCGGAUUAGCUAGUUGGCGGGGUAAAGGCCCACCAAGGCGACGAUCCGUAGCUGGUCUGAGAGGAUGAUCAGCCACACUGGAACUGAGACACGGUCCAGACUCCUACGGGAGGCAGCAGUGGGGAAUAUUGGACAAAGGGCGCAAGCCUGAUCCAGCCAUACCGCGUGGGUGAAGAAGGCCUUCGGGUUGUAAAGCCCUUUUGUUGGGAAAGAAAAGCAGCAGGUUAAUACCCCGCUGUUCUGACGGUACCCAAAGAAUAAGCACCGGCUAACUUCGUG